rnacentral:rRNA from 1 species
UACGAAGGGUGCAAGCGUUAAUCGGAAUUACUGGGCGUAAAGCGCGCGUAGGUGGUUUGUUAAGUUGGAUGUGAAAGCCCCGGGCUCAACCUGGGAACUGCAUCCAAAACUGGCAAGCUAGAGCAUGGCAGAGGGUGGUGGAAUUUCCUGUGUAGCGGUGAAAUGCGUAGAUAUAGGAAGGAACACCAGUGGCGAAGGCGACCACCUGGGCUAAUACUGACACUGAGAUGCCAUACCGUCGCGAGCUUACCGGGUCAGCUGGCCCCGUAGUUC